UCGGACCAUUUGUAGGCACACAAGUUUUAUCAGUACUGACAGCACAAUUUUAUUCCAGUACUUCCGCAAAGUUUAAUCUGUAAAGUCAAUCCUCAUCUUUGAAAUCUUGCGGUUGGCAGGAUUCGUCAACGCUGCUUAAUAGUAUUGUUAUGAGCCUGUGAACCUCGUAGUAUCAAACAUAGUAAAGAAUAAAUUACUUUUUUUAAAUCUAACAUAUUAAACGAAGCAUGUGCUAACUAUCGUAAAAUAAAGAAAAAGGCAUAAAAUAUAAUCUAACCAUAAUUAUGUAGAUAUUGAAACUAUCUAUUUCAGCUGGUAUUGAAAUUGCGGAAUGUAAAAUUAACUGCACAUGUAUGUUGUAAUGAUCAAUUAUGUGGUCCAAUAGGUUACUUUGAAGAAGGUAAUUGUUAUCAUGGCUGCAUUGAUGGGUACCAUGGUGGACGGUGUUAUCAAAAAUGCACUUAUAACUGUACAAAAUGUUACCCUGUUGACACAUGCAUUUCCUGCUACGAUGGAUAUCACCUUGGUGCAAAUAAAGACUGCACAGAAAAAUGCCCCACUGGCUGUAAAUCAUGUAAAUCAACUGGAGAGACAUGCAAUGCAUGCUUAGAUGGAAUGUUUGGAGAGUUCUGUAAUGAAACAUGUCCUUUGUAUUGCAAAAAUAAAAAAUGUGAUAGAAACAGCGGUGCAUGUUCUGAUGGAUGUCAGAUGCACUUUGUUGGCAUAGAGUGUCAAAAUUGUGACGAGGGUAGAUAUGGAGAAAACUGUGAAUAUGUUUGCCCUGAGCGAUGUUCAAGAGGUGUUUGUUUCAAGAAAUCUGGUAAUUGCCAAGGUUGUAAUGGCAAUUUCGGAGGCGAAAAAUGUGAAAACUGUCAGACUGGGUACUACGGACCAUAUUGCAACGACAAAUGUUCUAAAAAUUGUUUCAUUGAUAUUUAUGAUAGAAAUUCAGGACUAUGUACUCAUGGGUGUAAAAGUAAUUAUUUCGGAGACAGAUGCUGCUUGCAAAACUCCAAUUGUAUGAAAUGUUCGUCUAAUACAGAAUGCAAUGAAUGCAAGUCAGGUUUCUAUGGGGAAACAUGUAACAAGACAUGCAGAAGCAAUGGCGUUGGUAACUUAUGCAAGAAAGAGACUGGCGUGUGUGUGCUUGGAUGUCACGAGAUCAUAUAUGUGGUAGAGAUGAAGGUUUAAUAAUACGAUUGUGCUAGAAGAAAAUCAAAAACCAGAGGAUAAAUCCCAGACAGUCAUUGUAGUGAUGGGUGUAAUCAUAGCACUUUUAGCUAUUGUUGUCAUUAGUUUGACUGCAUCGAAAAUUGUCGUCUGGAGAAGACAAUCUACUCAAAGAAACACUGAAGCCGCAAUAGUAACUUUCGAAAAUGCGAUCUCAUCUACAAAUGCUGAACAGAGGGGAGAUAAAGAAAAGAUGUCCACAAGGAGAGAUAAUGUUUACUAUAACACAAAGGAAGACACUCAUGAUUCAGAACACGAGUAUGAACAUAUGUCUGUUGUUUGAUCAUCAAAAAAUACAAGCUGGAAAUUAUGGAGAGGAACAAAAAGAUUGAUGUACAAUAGUAAAUGAUACGCCUGGCAGAUAAUGUACUAUAGAUGAUAACGGAGUAUAUUCUGGAUUUACAAUAAAUGUAUAUGUACUUUAUCCAGUGUAUGUGUAUAUUAAAUGACGUAUUUGGUUUCAUUUUCUGUUCAUUUUUGCUUUUUAUUAUAGUAUAGUACAAGAUAUUUGCUUUUAAAGUGUUUCAUGUUAUUAUAUGUGAUGAGCUUAAUAACAUACUUAUUUACAUUAUUCAGAUAUGUUAACAACUUCCAGAUCUUUGUCAGAAGUUUACUUUAUGGGUAUAUGUCUCAUUAUAAAUCGCAUACACUUAUGCUGUCUUAAUAAGGAUACCGUUGAUAGGCAAAUAUAAUCUUUACAAAAGAAACAUGUUUUUAUUUAUGAUUUGAAACGGUAAACCAUCUUAAUAUGACUGAUAUUUGUUAUUUUUAUACCCAGAUCAGAAACAUCAAGCAUGUUAUUUCUCGCUUCGUUGUCAUGACCCUAAACAAAUCCAAAACAAUACUUUGUCAUACUGUUCAUUAGAACAACUAUGCUACAGAACGAAUCAAACUAAAACAUGAGUUUUUUUAUUAAAGAUCAAAGGUAAGGGUAGCUUUUCCGGAAGCACCCCAAAUACAGCCAUAAUAGAGUCAUGCAUGGCAAAGUGGGCAAAUGAAUUUGUUAUCAAAAUUGCAAUAUCUAAUUUCUCGUUCUAUGCAAAAAUUCAUUUACUGGUCAACUUAUCGAUAAUAAUAAGAAAAAUAUUAAUAGUAUUUUACAUACACUGCAGUGUGACAUCAAAAUAAUCACGAUAACAAUUUUGGGAGACGACCCCGGUAAACAUUUGUAAAUCAUGGUGAGGACCUCAAUAAAAACAUAUAAACAUUUUUCUAAAGUAUAUUUCAUAAGCAAAACAUUUGUAGUUUCUUAGAAAUCGAUAAAAUGUACGUGUGUGUAGAAUAACUGUAAUCGGACGACAAUAGAAAUGAUUUAUUCAAAGUGUAUUCGAUUUAUUGGGAAAACCCUCGUGUAAUAUGUAAAUAUUUUCAAUAUUGAUUUGAUCCGUCAUGAAAGGUGUUGAUGUUUCUUUACAUGUACGAGUGUUGCAUGCAGAAUUGUUAUUUUGUGAACUACCUGCUUGAGUUAUUUGUUUAACUUUUGGGAAUUACCGAAUAUUCAAAUUUAUAAUUAUGAUAUAUUCAUUUAUUUUGCCAGCAUGUUUACAUAUGUUUACUUUGAUUCUACCGUGUAUUUGUAUAAUAUUAUCUGACAUUUUAUUCAUUAUUGCAACCUUAUUUUUGGAUGGUAAUGGAUAGAUUAUUAGUUCAAUAGAACAAACAUUAACGCUUUUCUUAAUAAACUUUUAAAAUUAUUGAAAUAAAUAAUUAAUACUAUA
rnacentral:lncRNA from 1 species